AGAUCUAUGUUAGUGAUAUAUUGCCUUAUACAACAGCUUGUAUGUCAUGUAGGUUCCCCAUGCGGAGGUCUUUCAACAUGUUUCAUCUGUCCUCGAGGACUAUGGAUUUUGCCCUACUGGAGAUCCCAUGGACACUAUAAACCUCCAGCCUUAUAACUGCAGAAAGUCAAACGGAGAGUCAUGCAAAGGGCUUACAGAUGCAAACAUGGCAGUUAUGGAAUCGGCCAAUCUGGAUGCUGUAGA